rnacentral:misc_RNA from 1 species
AGGAAUCAAAAUGCAGAAGGUACAAUACCAUUUUUUGCUUCUGACCUAAAGAAAACUGUGGAUUGUUGAUAGCAUAACAUACAUCAAACUGCCAAGUAUAUGAAGACUAGACCGAAACAGUAACCAAAAAAAACUCCUGGGUUUUAUUGUAGCAUUAGUAAUGUAAUCAAACUACCGAAUAUCUCAUGACAAGACUUGCUGAAUGCAAGCCUCAAACUCUAUAUGGAAGACAUGCUGAUGAAACAAUUAGUUGAUUUAUCACGGAAUCCUCAUGUUUAGGUCAAUUUUAU